rnacentral:lncRNA from 1 species
GCGGGCUCGGGAUCCAGCGCUGUCAGGGCGCAUCUCCAAACUUUGACCAGCUUUAAUUUACCCUGAGCAGCGAACCACGCCGCAAGUCGGCCUCUUCUUGCAGAGAGAAAUGGAAAUGCCCAGAACAAAAGAGCUCUUAUCGCCCCAAAGGCUGGAUUUACUUAUCCUGAGGUGGGGAAACUGAGGCCCAGACCAGUUGGACCCUCCAGCAGUCGAGACACAGGCAGGACCGAAGAGUCAAAUCAACCUUGCUGAGAAGGUAGGAUUUUGAGGCAUAGUUUUCCUUGACCUCCCACCAGAUGCUGACUCUGUUUUCUUGCUAGGCUGGUCCAUCCACUUAUUUGCUUGUCUUUUAGCCACGUGUGGUCACACCACAUUGUGCAAUGCAGGGAUCUGGGCUGGCCUUCACCUGGGUUUCCUAUGCGUUCCACGGCAGCGCCGGCUGCAGCCUCACGCUGCCCCAAGGUCCAGUCUGGACGAACUGACUGCUGGUUUUGCUCAGCUGUACCAUCUGUGACCAUGAAAGUCUGAGAGAAUAAACAGAAUCAUAUUUAUGAGAAACACCCAUGGGUGCUUUCCAUAUAUCUUAUUUAUUAUCUCGUUGCAAAAAUGAGAUUCUUGACCUCAGUUCAGGCAUGUGGCUUGGCACUGUUUACAGCUAAAUCUUCUGCAAAAUUAACAUGCAGAUGGGGGCAGCAGCAAGCCAGAGCCACCAGCUAUGGGUCAUCAGGUGGCCCAAGGUCAUCCCCUUCACUUCGCUCCUCUGCCUGGCAGCUUAGCGCCCAGCCUUUGGCAUCACCUGGGGAUUACUUCUUCUUUGUUUUAUAAAUAGCCAAACAUGGACCUGGGGUAGCUGUUAAUCCCAGGGCUGGCCCUGAGAUUUCAGAAUCAUAUCUUCUUCAGAUUAAGCGGACAGGGCACAAAGCGUCGCUGACCAAAGUUUAAAAAAUGCAGACGCCAGAGUUCCUGUUGUGUCUCAGCAGAAACAAAUCCAACUAGGAUCCAUGAGGAUGUGGGUUAAGGAUCCGGCAUUGCCUUGAGCUGUGGUGUAGGUCACAGGUGUGGCUGUGGCUGUGGCUGUGGCUGUGGCUGUGGCGGAGGCCAGCAGCUGCAGCUCUGAUUCACCCCUAGCCUGGGAAUUGCCAUAUGUCGCACGUGCAGCCCUAAAAAAAGAAAAAAAGAAAAAAAAA